CAGAUUGAACGCUGGCGGCAGGCCUAACACAUGCAAGUCGAACGGUAACAGGAAGCAGCUUGCUGCUUCGCUGACGAGUGGCGGACGGGUGAGUAAUGUCUGGGAAACUGCCUGAUGGAGGGGGGAUAACUACUGGAAACGGUAGCUAAUACCGCAUAACGUCGCAAGACCAAAGAGGGGGACCUUCGGGCCUCUUGCCAUCAGAUGUGCCCAGAUGGGAUUAGCUAGUUGGUGAGGUAACGGCUCACCAAGACGAUGAUACGUAGCCGACCUGAGAGGGUGAUCGGCCACAUUGGGACUGAGACACGGCCCAAACUCCUACGGGAGGCAGCAGUAGGGAAUCUUCCGCAAUGGACGAAAGUCUGACGGAGCAACGCCGCGUGAGUGAAGAAGGUUUUCGGAAUCGUAAAACUCUGUUGUCAGAGAAGAACAAGUUGGAGAGUAACUGCUCCAGCCUUGACGGUAUCUGACCAGAAAGCCACGGCUAACUACGUGCCAGCAGCAGC
rnacentral:rRNA from 1 species